rnacentral:rRNA from 1 species
GGACGAACGCUGGCGGCGUGCCUAAUACAUGCAAGUAGAACGCUGAAGGAGGAGCUUGCUCUUCUGGAUGAGUUGCGAACGGGUGAGUAACGCGUAGGUAACCUGCCUGGUAGCGGGGGAUAACUAUUGGAAACGAUAGCUAAUACCGCAUAACAGUAGAUGUUGCAUGACAUUUGCUUAAAAGGUGCAAUUGCACCACUACCAGAUGGACCUGCGUUGUAUUAGCUAGUUGGUGGGGUAACGGCUCACCGAGGCGACGAUACAUAGCCGACCUGAGAGGGUGAUCGGCCACACUGGGACUGAGACACGGCCCAGACUCCUACGGGAGGCAGCAGUAGGGAAUCUUCGGCAAUGGACGGAAGUCUGACCGAGCAACGCCGCGUGAGUGAAGAAGGUUUUCGGAUCGUAAAGCUCUGUUGUAAGAGAAGAACGAGUGUGAGAGUGGAAAGUUCACACUGUGACGGUAUCUUACCAGAAAGGGACGGCUAACUACGUG